rnacentral:rRNA from 1 species
GACGAACGCUGGCGGCGUGCUUAACACAUGCAAGUCGAACGGAAAGGCCCUGCUUUUGUGGGGUGCUCGAGUGGCGAACGGGUGAGUAACACGUGAGUAACCUGCCCUUGACUUUGGGAUAACUUCAGGAAACUGGGGCUAAUACCGGAUAGGAGCUCCUGCUGCAUGGUGGGGGUUGGAAAGUUUCGGCGGUUGGGGAUGGACUCGCGGCUUAUCAGCCUGUUGGUGGGGUAGUGGCUUACCAAGGCUUUGACGGGCAGCCGGCCUGAGAGGGUGACCGGCCACAUUGGGACUGAGAUACGGCCCAGACUCCUACGGGAGGCAGCAGUGGGGAAUAUUGCACAAUGGGCGGAAGCCUGAUGCAGCAACGCCGCGUGCGGGAUGACGGCCUUCGGGUUGUAAACCGCUUUCGCCUGUGACGAAGCGUGAGUGACGGUAAUGGGUAAAGAAGCACCGGCUAACUACGUG